GACGAACCGUCCAAACGUUGUUCGGAAUCACUGGGCUUAAAGGGCGCGUAGGCGGACUGCCAAGUCCGGGGUGAAAUCUCUCGGCUUAACCGGAAAAGGGCCUUGGAAACUGGCGGUCUCGAGGGAGGUAGGGGCCUGUGGAACUUCGGGUGGAGCGGUGAAAUGCGUUGAUAUCCGAAGGAACGCCGGUGGCGAAAGCGACGGGCUGGAUCUCUUCUGACGCUGAGGCGCGAAAGCCAGGGGAGCAAACGGG
rnacentral:rRNA from 1 species